rnacentral:misc_RNA from 1 species
GAUGAAGAACGUAGCGAAAUGCGAUAAGUAAUGUGAAUUGCAGAAUUCAGUGAAUCAUCGAAUCUUUGAACGCACAUUGCGCCCGCCAGUAUUCUGGCGGGCAUGCCUGUUCGAGCGUCAUUUCAACCAUCAAGCCCCCGGCUUGUGUUGGGGACCUGCGGCUGCCGCAGGCCCUGAAAACCAGUGGCGGGCUCGCUAGUCACUCCGAGCGUAGUAGUUACAUCUCGCUCAGGGCGUGCUGCGGGUUCCGGCCGUUAAAAGCCUUAUUUACCCAAGGUUGACCUCGGAUCAGGUAGGGAUACCCGCUGAACUUAAGCAUAUCAAUAAGCGGAGGA